rnacentral:lncRNA from 1 species
UCUCAUCUUGCUUCGGAAGAUAGAUUAAAUCUAAGUAUUUUGACCCUUCAGUUAGAGGAGUGUGAAAGUUGGGAGUGAGAAGUUUUAUAUUAAGUACUUUGAGUGCUCAAAAAAUGCAAUCACUGUUCUAUAUAAUGAAUUCAUAGGUCAAUCAUUCGUAAUCAUUGACUAAAGCUUUUUAUUAAGAAAACAGCAGAAAGAUUAUCUUGAAAUUAAGUCUGAGGGGAAAUGGCCACUGUGCAGAUUUUUUUUUUAUAAGCAAUAAUGAAAUUCUACCUAGAAUGCAUAAGUGAGGGUAUGAAUGAGACAGCAUGUUGUUCUUUUCUCACAUGCUGAAAGUCAAAGCUACUUGGAAGGAGUGCUUACGUGUGCCAAUAAGCCACAAAUAAGAUCACAUCUUACACGUCAGCAGUAGCUUUAGAUCAGGGCAAGGGUGGGGACGUGGGAGGGAUCGCGAGAGACUAGGGGGACCUUGAUAGAGAACCUGAUACGUGUCUUUUUCUUCUGUUGUCACAAAAGGCAGUUGUUCCUAAAAGUUCAGUCACUUGAGUUACACCUGCGUCCGCUGUGGCCCCUGGCGCUGACUGAAGGGCGCCUGAAAGUCCUUCCUCUUUCUGAAUCUGAAUCACAGCCUUGAUUUGGUCUCUCUUGUUCUGUGUCCUUGUUCUGAUGUCAAAGUGUUUAAUGCCUUCUGGGUUGUACUGGGUAGUGUUGGGAUAAGAUUUUAACUGGGUAUUCUUGAAUUGCUUUUACAAUAAACCAAUUUUAUAAUCUUUAAAUUUAUCAGCUUUUUACAUUUUGUGUUCUCUUAGUUAGGGCUUCUUAGAUGUACUUAUUGAUAGAGCACGCUGAUUUGGAGUUUCAGUUUUUCCACAGCACUACUUGUGGUAAUAAGUAUUUUCUAAAUAUAGUGCCUUUUCUAGGAAAGGAAAAAAGGACAUUAAGGAAGUGACUUUUAUAUACAAGUAAUGUUGUUUUAAGUAUUCAUAUUAAGUAGAUGCAUCCUAUAGGGAGCUUGGCAGAAACACUGAAGAAUAACUAAAAUUAACUGUAAUUCAUAAUUCAUACCAGUCAGUGUUGAAACUCAUGACACAGAGGGGGAGACAGUACCCAGGGUUAACAGCUUCGUGGCUUUUGCACAUCUGAGAACUGGGGCUUGGAUGAGCUUUAUCUUUGGCAAGCAUAUUUUUAUAAGGAUUGUGGGUGUGCCUAUUUUAACAGUUGUUUUCUGUAUCAUGAAAAGUAUUCUCCACAAUUUAAAUGUUUUUAUAUUAGAGAACUCUUUAAUGCACAUUUGUCAGAACUAUAUACACAGUACCCGUAUUACCUUUUUAUGUCUUGUUUUAGCUGUAAGCAUGCUGGUAUGUUAGGUACUUACAUAAACUGUUACAUUACUUUUUCUUUUGUAAUCCCUGUUUGUGUGUUUAUGUGGCUCAAAUAUAUUCUUUCUU